rnacentral:rRNA from 1 species
UACAGAGGUCUCAAGCGUUUGUUCGGAGUUACUGGGCGUAAAGGGCGCGUAGGCGGAUCGGCAAGUCAGAAGUGAAAUCCCUGGGCUCAACCCAGGAAUUGCUUUUGAGACUGUCGGUCUUGAGUACAGGAGAGGUGAGUGGAAUUCCCAGUGUAGAGGUAAAAUUCGUAGAUAUUGGGAGGAACACCAGUGGCGAAGGCGGCUCACUGGCCUGUAACUGACGCUGAGGCGCGAAAGCGUGGGGAGCGAACAGG